GACGAACGCUGGCGGCGUGCUUAACACAUGCAAGUCGAACGGUAAGGCCCUUUCGGGGGUACACGAGUGGCGAACGGGUGAGUAACACGUGGGUGAUCUGCCCUGCACUUUGGGAUAAGCCUGGGAAACUGGGUCUAAUACCGAAUAGGACCAUGCCAUGCAUGUGGUGUGGUGGAAAGCUUUUGCGGUGUGGGAUGGGCCCGCGGCCUAUCAGCUUGUUGGUGAGGUUAUGGCUUACCAAGGCGACGACGGGUAGCCGGCCUGAGAGGGUGACCGGCCACACUGGGACUGAGAUACGGCCCAGACUCCUACGGGAGGCAGCAGUGGGGAAUAUUGCACAAUGGGCGCAAGCCUGAUGCAGCGACGCCGCGUGAGGGAUGACGGCCUUCGGGUUGUAAACCUCUUUCACUAGGGACGAAGCGUGAGUGACGGUACCUAGAGAAGAAGGACCGGCCAACUACGUGCCAGCCGC
rnacentral:rRNA from 1 species